rnacentral:tRNA from 1 species
UUCUAUUUGGCACAGUGGUAAAGCUGUUGCCUUGUGACCAUGAGGUCACGGGUUCGAGUCCUGGAAGAAG